AUCCACGCAGUGAGGGACCUGCUAAAGGACACUCAGGAGGGCACACCUGCCACUUAUAGUCCCCUUUUCUUGGCCAAAAGUCACACCAUCUUCUCAGAGCCUGUCAGUUGUCCCAAAACUGCCAGGGAAACCGCACUGUUCCUAAGGUGAUUGCAGUAGCUCCCCCCUGCUUCCCACAACGAGGCAGAAAAACAUUCUUUUUAUAAACCUUAAGAAGCCAAGAAUCUCCCUCCGGCGCAAGCCAGCAGGAGACCCAGUCAGGGGGCUCUGGUGAGCCUACUGGGGCGCAAACAUCCCAACCCCAACCGCCCUCCCCAUUAGCAACUGGGGACAGAGGUCUGAGCAGCUCUUGAGAGGAUGCCCCUGUGCAUCACAGCAAAUAUGGGGGGAUUUCCUUCCAUCUUCUGUUUGAAGGCAAAUGUUGUUUCACUGUUUUGUUUCAUUAUGAUUAAUUGUAUUACUCUAGUCAAUAUUCUUUCGAAUGGUUUUAUAAUGUUCUGGUUUUGGUUUGAUUUUGCUAUGCCUGAUUGACUGGACAACUAUUAAGAAGAUAAUGAGAUACACUAUGAAACCUAUUACUGUUAUGCCAGUAACCUGCUGUGUCUCAAUUGGCUUUGUUCUGCCUUGUCCUGUUGUAUUUCUACCUUCAGACAAACAAACAAACAGAAGCCAAGAAUACUUUUCUUUUUUGGAGACAUGGUCUUGCUAAGUAGUCCAGGUGGCCUCCGCCUCCCAAGUGCUGGGAUUAUAGGUAUCAUGCCCAGCCAAGGAUGCCUUUAAAAAUUUUAUUAGUACAUUUUAGAUAUACCUAAUAACAUUCAUCAUAGGGAAUUUGUGUUUGUACAUGAUAUACCUUGCUUUUUUUCCCAAUCCCCUUUCCUUCCUUUAACCUCUCUUCCCCUCCUUAAGAAUACUUGAAUUUCUAUUUAGCAAUUGCUGACUCAAGAUUUUAUGAACGUUUAUAACAUUAAUCCCAUUUACAUUUAUUUACUCAAUACCUGAAGGCCUCAAAUCUCAACUGGGAGGUCCAUUUCCAUAUGCCCUGGCGUUGACAGGUUGGACUGAGAGCCUGUGUGUUCUGACUGUAAAUCAGGGGCCUCCCUACCUCCUGGCCACAUGGGUCUCUCCAACACACCGGUGGGCUCCUUCCUCAAGGAGCCUGAGCCUAGAAUGCAAAGAGCACCAGCAGGGCCGAAGGUGUGAUCUUUCUGUAACUCAUCAUGGGAGUCAUACCACCACCCUCAAGAACUCCACACUCAAACCUGAUCUACUAUAUAUGUAUGGUAAAAAUCUGUCUCAAAAAGGCAGUAAAAUUAAUUUCUCAUUAAGAAAACAGGGGGCAGUCUAUAUAUUACACUCCAUCUGUUAUAACUUAAACAUCUCAGAACAUAUAGGUUAAUAUAAAGACAGUUCAUCAUUCCAUUUUUAAUUUUUGGUUCUUGUUUAACUUUUUUUUUUUUUUUUUUGGUCUUUUUUGUUUUUAUUGGUACCAGGGAUCGAACUCAUGACUCCCUGCUUGCAAGGCAGGUGCUUAUACUGCUGAGCUAAAUCCCCAGCCCCCUAUUAUUUAACAUAUUUGUAACACUCAUAUCUUCUAGGCUUCUCCAGCUCCUAGUCUAGCAGAUACUCACCUGUGCUGUUACUAAGACAAUGUUGUGUAUAUAUUUUUGGCAACUCUGCAAAUGUUUUCUGCAUUAUAAAACCUUCACAAAUUAAAGCAAUGUCAGCUUCUUCCAUAAGCCUCAAUGAAAUACUGACCACAACCUGUCUCCCUGUAAUUCUUUUAGGUCAGCCAGGAUGAGGCUUUUGAUUCCUGGCUACGUAAGGGCAGCCCCACUUCAGCCUGAUACUGAUAGUUAAAAGCCUGAUAGUUAAAAGAAAAAAAAUAUUCAGCCUGUAGCUUCUCUGCAGCCCUUAAGAAUGAGGAGGAGGAGGAGGCUGGGUAGAUAGACUAAACAAAGGUAGAAAGUGAAAGAGUUGCCGGCCCAGAUGAAACACUGUAACCAGAAAAGGCUGCAGCUAAACUCCUCCCCCCGCUGCCCCCUAUGCACUUGAUUGUAACCCUAUAUCCCCAUCCUUAAGAAUCUGUGCGCCAAUGAGAUACCUGUGCAUCUCUAAUGGCAUUAGGGUGCUGCCCUAAGCUUAGGCUAUUUAGAUUCCCCCACGCCACGUAUCCGAGGGAGUUCGCCAGAGAGAGAGAGACCGCCAGAUUCCAGCGGCCAGCGCCGGCCAGCGCGCCAGUCUCCACUCCCCGUGUUCCCGGAGAGACCACCCGCCCCGGGUGCAGAGAUGCUGCGCCCGGGGCUGGCGGCGGGGGGCCCCCUCCCCGCAGUCCCGGAAUAAAGCCACCGCUGACCACUACUUUCAUGGCCGUCCACUCCACUCCAUUCCUCCCACGGACUUCUCUUCUCCUCCCCCUUCUCUCAGACCUAACAGAUGGUGCCCUGUGACUCGGCGGCAGUUCUGAGACAGGUAAACCUACACAAGGUGGAGCUGCCUGCCCCCUCCAUGGACCAUGCUCAAAUGCAGCAGAAGAUACUGGACAAAAAAAUGCCCCAUCCUGGCAUUCUUUGAGACCUUACUCCAGGGCUACUGGACUGUCCUAGCCACCAGAGAGUGGGUAAGUCAUCCUAAGUAAUAGCCCUCACAGGAAAUGUCGACACUGCCAGAUUCGUCACCGACAGAAAAUCCGCUGCUGAAGACUGAAAAAGUUCAGGGCAACAACAGCCCCCUUUAAGGUGUCCGUCUCAGACUCCAAGUCGCACUAAAGUCUCAGUCUGACAUACGUACAUUCACCAGUGAAGUUGUCCUGGCUAAAACACCUGACAUCAGUGUCUACCUGGGCAUCAACCUUCAUCCCGUCAAACUCCCCUAGACCCCCAAUACAGCGCCCUCAGCCAGCAGGAAGUAGUUACAGAGAGAGAUCUUCGCCCCUUUUCCUAAUAACCAGAAGAUGGGAUAUGAAAGAGUUGCCGGCCCAGAUGAAACACUGUAACCAGAAAAGGCUGCAGCUAAACUCCUCCCCCCCCUGCUCCCUAUGCACUUGAUUGUAACCCUAUAUCCCCAUCCUUAAGAAUCUGUGCGCCAAUGAGAUACCUGUGCAUCUCUAAUGGCAUUAGGGUGCUGCCCUAAGCUUAGGCUAUUUAGAUUCCCCCACGCCACGUGUCCGAGGGAGUUCGCCAGAGAGAGAGAGACCGCCAGAUUCCAGCGGCCAGCGCUGGCCAGCGCGCCAGUCUCCACUCCCCGUGUUCCCGGAGAGACCACCCGCGCCCGGGUGCAGAGAUGCUGCGCCCGGGGCUGGCGGCGGGGGGCCCCCUCCCCACAGUCCCGGAAUAAAGUCACCGCUGACCACUACUUUCACGGCCGUCCACUCCGCUCCAUUCCUCCCACGGACUUCUCCUCUCCUCCCCCUUCUCUCAGACCUAACAGAAAGGAGACAAGGAAAAGCGUAACUUUAAAAAUGAAAACUGCAACUUCAAGACAUAAACCCGGUUUUUAAGAGUUUUUUCCCCCAAAACACAAUAAGCUUUGGGUCAUUCUCUUUUACAUAUAAAUGGGUCUGUUACCUAUAAAUAGCUCACCUCUUUUCACCUGUAAAAUUGAUCUUUCCCAGGAGAUGAGAAGCCGUUCUGUGACCUGGGAUGGCUACCCCCUAAGAAUGGGCCACCAUCCUCCCUCGAGGGCUGUCACCUUUCAACUAUAAAUUAAAUUCCUUCUCCAUAGGUUCACAAGUCUACAGCUUCCCACUCUUAAAUCCCUCAUGAAUAUACCCAGCUCAAGGCCAUAAGCAUACCUCCCUCUUUUGUAUGUACUUUAAAAACUAUGCCUCGUCUAGCGUGGUACAGUAUGCCUGUAAUCCCAGCACUUAGGAGGCUGAGGCAGGAAGAUCACCGAGAUUUCAAAGCCAUCCUGAACUACAUGGUGAGAAUGUCUUAAAAACUCAAAAACAAGCCAAAAAGUACAACUAAUAAAUCCCUUUAUGCAUCUUA